UACGAAGGGUGCAAGCGUUAAUCGGAAUUACUGGGCGUAAAGCGUGCGUAGGCGGUUUCUUAAGUCUGCUGUGAAAUCCCCGGGCUCAACCUGGGAAUGGCAGUGGAUACUGGCUAGCUAGAGUGUGUCAGAGGAUGGUGGAAUUCCCGGUGUAGCGGUGAAAUGCGUAGAGAUCGGGAGGAACAUCAGUGGCGAAGGCGGCCAUCUGGGACAACACUGACGCUGAAGCACGAAAGCGUGGGGAGCAAACAGG
rnacentral:rRNA from 1 species